ACAGCAGUCGCCACGGGAAUACGAAGGGGGCUAGCGUUGUUCGGAAUUACUGGGCGUAAAGGGCGCGUAGGCGGCCAUUCAAGUUAGAUGUGAAAGCCCUGGGCUCAACCUAGGAAUUGCAUUUGAUACUGUUUGGCUUGAGUUCGGGAGAGGUGAGUGGAAUUCCCAGUGUAGAGGUGAAAUUCGUAGAUAUUGGGAAGAACACCAGUGGCGAAGGCGGCUCACUGGACCGACACUGACGCUGAGGCGCGAAAGCGUGGGGAGCAAACAGGAUUAGAUACCCGAGUAGUCCCUGUCUCUUAUAC
rnacentral:rRNA from 1 species